UACGGGGGGGGCAAGCGUUGUUCGGAAUUACUGGGCGUAAAGGGCGCGUAGGCGGCGCAACAAGUCACUUGUGAAAUCUCCGGGCUUAACUCGGAGCGGCCAAGUGAUACUGUCGUGCUAGAGUGCGGAAGGGGCAACUGGAAUUCUCGGUGUAGCGGUGAAAUGCGUAGAUAUCGAGAGGAACACCUGCGGCGAAGGCGGGUUGCUGGGCCGACACUGACGCUGAGGCGCGAAAGCCAGGGGAGCGAACGGG
rnacentral:rRNA from 1 species